ACACGACUACAUUAGAUACCCCGGUAGUCCUAGCCGUAAACGAUGCUCGCUAGGUGUCAGGGACGGUGCGACCGUUUCUGGUGCCGCAGGGAAGCCGUGAAGCGAGCCACCUGGGAAGUACGGUCGCAAGGCUGAAACUUAAAGGAAUUGGCGGGGGAGCACUACAACGGGUGGAGCCUGCGGUUUAAUUGGAUUCAACGCCGGAAAUCUUACCGGGACCGACAGCAACAUGAAGGCCAAGCUGAAGACUUUGCCGGAUUAGCUG
rnacentral:rRNA from 1 species